rnacentral:tRNA from 1 species
GCAGUGGUGGUUCAAUGGCAGAAUUCUCAUCUUCUAUGUGGUAGACCCAGGUUAGAUUCCCAGCCUCUGGG